UACGAAGGGGGCUAGCGUUGUUCGGAAUCACUGGGCGUAAAGGGCGCGUAGGCGGCCGAUCAAGUCGGGGGUGAAAGCCUGUGGCUCAACCACAGAAUUGCCUUCGAUACUGUUUGGCUUGAGACCGGAAGAGGUUAGUGGAACUGCGAGUGUAGAGGUGAAAUUCGUAGAUAUUCGCAAGAACACCAGUGGCGAAGGCGGGUAGCUGGGCCGACACUGACGGCUGAGGCGCGAAAGCCAGGGAGCGAACGGG
rnacentral:rRNA from 1 species